GUUUGUUCUUCUCGAAGACACUAGACGAGACAACCGCAAUAGGCUCUAAUAGAAGUGCGUGUCGUGGCCGUGCUGAAUGGGGAGGCUGCUGCGGUGGGCUGGGACGUGCCGUCUUCUCCCCAUUGUGUGCGUGUCAAAGCCCAAGCUGGCCGGAGACUUCAUCUUGCACCGGAGCUUUUUUUCCGGAUGGCUCUUAGACCAGCUCAGCAUGGGUUCAGAAUGAGGACGGAUCUGUGGAAAGGAAAACUGUGUGUGGACUGUGCACAGCCUUUGUCACUGGGCCGCAGGGUUCGGGCUGAUGCUGGGCAUUUGAGCGGUGGCGUGGCUGAUAUGGUUAGACAGGGCAUGGGGCGCUGUGCCAAGACAGUGCCAGCAUCUACCUCUGACCUGCUGGCACUUGAUCAGCACGCUUGUGCCAUCCAGCCUGCUAACACCCCACUGUACGCAGCGGGACCCAACAGCAAGCCCUGUCCUGCUCCACUACUGUAAGUAGAGAGGACAAUAACAGAGAGAC